AUGAGCUAUUCUUGUCUAUCUGGAAUAAUAUCGAAAGCCGUAUGGAGAUAGAAAUAUUGAAGAAAGAUUGCACAAUCGCGACAAUCGUGCAAUCUUUUUCUCUAUCGAAAACACGUCGCCGUUAUUCUUUUAAUAAUCGAGUUUUGCGGUCGAAACGGACAUCUUUUUUCUCCAUCUUCUUCUCCUUUUUUCAACGAUUCCAAAGAGAGACCGCUAUUAAUUAUACCGGAUACCAUUCUCGAGAUAAUUGUUUUUUUCUCUCUCUUUUCUACAAUUAUACAUAUAUGGUUUCGAGCGUUUUUUCAAACGAAUACGUUAUAUCACUCGUUCUCCCCUCUCCUUUCCCUUAUUCAAGUCCACGAGUCCGUAACACGAAUAAUAAUUACAUGAAUAAUAAUUUCCAAUUCUAACCUAUAUCGUCUCGCGUCGAGUUGUGCGACCGAUUGUGUUUCAUUGACACCGCCCACGUGCCCAACUCGUUCACAGAAAGCAGCUUUCACCUUAUUUGUUCCAGGCGAAGAAAAAAAACACUUAAAUAACAGUAACAAUAAUAAUAAUAAUAAUAAUAACAAACACCGAGUCGAUAAUCGAGUUAACCAAUUUUCAAAUUUUAAAUCUUCCACGAUCCCUCCCUUAUCGACGUAACUUCGAAUCGUUCGAUCGAAAUGUAUAUAUAUAUAUAUAUUUCAAUUCAGAUCCAGAGUUGGUAAACGAAGUUGGAAAGUAGGAAAGCACGCGGUAAAGUUUACUCGCGACGACGGGUACGAUCUCGCGGAGGUUUGGAGCGGAGCCAAAACACCACCGUGUGUUCCUCUCUACGUCCGCUGGACCAGUUUUCUUUAUCCGGCUUUUGCACCGCAAACAGAUUUCGAAACGACCGGUUCUCCUUCCACGAAAACGAAACGCCCGUUUUCGGCGGCGGCGGCGGCAGCGGCGACGACAAAAAUAAAGCGGCACCCGCGAUAUCCUUGCGAACUUUACGAUCCUGUAACGGACGCACGCACACGCGCACGCGCACAUACUGUCCGCCAUUUUCGAUGAAGGUAUAUAACGUGGAUUGGGCAGAGGGCCUCGAAGCGAAGCGUCUUCCUCGCGUUCUCGUCACACGUGACGAAAGAAAGAGAAGUAAUUUUUACAUCGGCUUGCGAAACUCGUCGCGAAUUAUCGUUUCGCAACGAUAAUCGACGAUCAGGUGGAAAAUAAAGGAUCGUUUACAACGGAAGGAAA